UAGGGAAUCUUCCGCAAUGGGCGAAAGCCUGACGGAGCAACGCCGCGUGAGUGAUGAAGGUCUUCGGAUCGUAAAACUCUGUUAUUAGGGAAGAACAAAUGUGUAAGUAACUAUGCACGUCUUGACGGUACCUAAUCAGAAAGCCACGGCUAACUACGUGCCAGCAGCCGCGGUAAUACGUAGGUGGCAAGCGUUACCCGGAAUUAUUGGGCGUAAAGCGCGCGUAGGCGGUUUUUUAAGUCUGAUGUGAAAGCCCACGGCUCAACCGUGGAGGGUCAUUGGAAACUGGAAAACUUGAGUGCAGAAGAGGAAAGUGGAAUUCCAUGUGUAACGGUGAAAUGCGCAGAGAUAUGGAGGAACACCAGUGGCGAAGGCGACUUUCUGGUCUGUAACUGACGCUGAUGUGCGAAAGCGUGGGGAGCGAACAGG
rnacentral:rRNA from 1 species